UACGGAGGGUGCGAGCGUUGUCCGGAAUCAUUGGGCGUAAAGGGCGCGUAGGUGGCGGGAUAAGCGUGCGGUGAAAGCUCGGGGCUCAACCCCGAGUCGGCCGUGCGAACUAUUCUGCUUGAGCACUGUAGAGGCAGGCGGAAUUCCGGGUGUAGCGGUGGAAUGCGUAGAGAUCCGGAAGAACACCGGUGGCGAAGGCGGCCUGCUGGGCAGUAGCUGACACUGAGGCGCGACAGCGUGGGGAGCAAACAGG
rnacentral:rRNA from 1 species